GACGAACGCUGGCGGCGUGCCUAAUACAUGCAAGUAGAACGCUGAAGAGAGGAGCUUGCUCUUCUUGGAUGAGUUGCGAACGGGUGAGUAACGCGUAGGUAACCUGCCUGGUAGCGGGGGAUAACUAUUGGAAACGAUAGCUAAUACCGCAUAAUAUUAAUUAUUGCAUGAUAAUUAAUUGAAAGAUGCAACUGCAUCACUACCAGAUGGACCUGCGUUGUAUUAGCUAGUUGGUGAGGUAACGGCUCACCAAGGCGACGAUACAUAGCCGACCUGAGAGGGUGAUCGGCCACACUGGGACUGAGACACGGCCCAGACUCCUACGGGAGGCAGCAGUAGGGAAUCUUCGGCAAUGGGGGGAACCCUGACCGAGCAACGCCGCGUGAGUGAAGAAGGUUUUCGGAUCGUAAAGCUCUGUUGUAAGAGAAGAACGGGUGUGAGAGUGGAAAGUUCACACUGUGACGGUAUCUUACCAGAAAGGGACGGCUAACUACGUGCCAGCAGCCGCGGUAAUACGUAGGUCCCGAGCGUUGUCCGGAUUUAUUGGGCGUAAAGCGAGCGCAGGCGGUUAGAUAAGUCUGAAGUUAAAGGCUGUGGCUUAACCAUAGUAUGCUUUGGAAACUGUUUAACUUGAGUGCAGAAGGGGAGAGUGGAAUUCCAUGUGUAGCGGUGAAAUGCGUAGAUAUAUGGAGGAACACCGGUGGCGAAAGCGGCUCUCUGGUCUGUAACUGACGCUGAGGCUCGAAAGCGUGGGGAGCAAACGGG
rnacentral:rRNA from 1 species